rnacentral:rRNA from 1 species
CCUACGGGGGGCUGCAGUGGGGAAUAUUGGACAAUGGGGGGAACCCUGAUCCAGCCAUGCCGCGUGUGUGAAGAAGGCCCUCGGGUUGUAAAGCACUUUCAGUGAGGAAGAACGCCUGGUGGUUAAUACCCAUCAGGAAAGACAUCACUCACAGAAGAAGCACCGGCUAACUCCGUGCCAGCAGCCGCGGUAAUACGGAGGGUGCGAGCGUUAAUCGGAAUUACUGGGCGUAAAGCGCGCGUAGGUGGCUUGAUAAGCCGGUUGUGAAAGCCCCGGGCUCAACCUGGGAACGGCAUCCGGAACUGUCAAGCUAGAGUGCAGGAGAGGAAGGUAGAAUUCCCGGUGUAGCGGUGAAAUGCGUAGAGAUCGGGAGGAAUACCAGUGGCGAAGGCGGCCUUCGGGACUGACACUGACACUGAGGUGCGAAAGCGUGGGUAGCAAACAGGAUUAGAACCCUGGUAGUC